rnacentral:rRNA from 1 species
AUUGAACGCUGGCGGCAUGCCUUACACAUGCAAGUCGAACGGCAGCACGGGAGCAAUCCUGGUGGCGAGUGGCGAACGGGUGAGUAAUGUAUCGGAACGUGCCCAGUCGUGGGGGAUAACGCAGCGAAAGCUGUGCUAGUACCGCAUACGAUCUAUGGAUGAAAGCGGGGGAUCGCAAGACCUCGCGCGAUUGGAGCGGCCGAUAUCAGAUUAGGUAGUUGGUGGGGUAAAGGCCCACCAAGCCGACGAUCUGUAGCUGGUCUGAGAGGACGACCAGACACACUGGAACUGAGACACGGUCCAGACUCCUACGGGAGGCAGCAGUGGGGAAUUUUGGACAAUGGGCGCAAGCCUGAUCCAGCAAUGCCGCGUGCAGGAUGAAGGCCUUCGGGUUGUAAACUGCUUUUGUACGGAACGAAACGGUUCUCUCUAAUACAGGGGGCUAAUGACGGUACCGUAAGAAUAAGCACCGGCUAACUACGUGCCAGCCGCCGCGGUAA